UGGGGAAUUUUGGACAAUGGGCGCAAGCCUGAUCCAGCCAUGCCGCGUCGCGGGAAGAAGGCCUUCGGGUUGUAAACCGCUUUUGUCAGGGAAGAAAUCUUCUGAGUUAAUACCUCGGGAGGAUGACGGUACCUGAAGAAUAAGCACCGGCUAACUACGUGCCAGCAGCCGCGGUAAUACGUAGGGUGCAAGCGUUAAUCGGAAUUACUGGGCGUAAAGCGUGCGCAGGCGGUUUUGUAAGACAGAGGUGAAAUCCCCGGGCUCAACCUGGGAACUGCCUUUGUGACUGCAAGGCUUGAGUGCGGCAGAGGGGGAUGGAAUUCCGCGUGUAGCAGUGAAAUGCGUAGAUAUGCGGAGGAACACCGAUGGCGAAGGCAAUCCCCUGGGCCUGCACUGACGCUCAUGCACGAAAGCGUGGGGAGCAAACAGGAUUAGAUACCCUGGUAGUCCACGCCCUAAAACGAUGUCAACUGGUUGUUGGGGAAGGUUCCUUCUCAGUAACGUAGCUAACGCGUGAAGUCGACCGCCUGGGGAGUACGGCCGCAAGGUUGAAAC
rnacentral:rRNA from 1 species